rnacentral:piRNA from 1 species
AUUCUAAAAGGGAGGAAUGAGGACCUAGUA